rnacentral:miRNA from 1 species
UGAAUAGAUCAAAUCUGUAAAUUUUUAAAAAAUUUAAAAACUAUUUGAUACUUUGUUUCAUUUAUUCAAAUCAAUAUAUAUAAUAUUUUUUUGAUUAUCUGUCAAUUUGAAUUAAUGAAACGAAGUAUCAAAUAAUUUUCAAUUUUUUUAAAAAUUUACAGAUUUGAUCUAUGCA